GAUGAACGCUGGCGGCGUGCCUAAUACAUGCAAGUCGAGCGAACAGACGAGGAGCUUUCUCCUUUGACGUUAGCGGCGGACGGGUGAGUAACACGUGGAUAACCUACCUAUAAGACUGGGAUAACUUCGGGAAACCGGAGCUAAUACCGGAUAAUAUAUUGAACCGCAUGGUUCAAUAGUGAAAGACGGUUUUGCCGUCACUUAUAGAUGGAUCCGCGCCGCAUUAGCUAGGUGGUAAGGUAACGGCUUACCAAGGCAACGAUGCGUAGCCGACCUGAGAGGGUGAUCGGCCACACUGGAACUGAGACACGGUCCAGACUCCUACGGGAGGCAGCAGUAGGGAAUCUUCCACAAUGGGCGAAAGCUUGACGGAGCAACGCCGCGUGAGUGAUGAAGGUCUUCGGGUCGUAAAACUCUGUUAUUAGGAAAGAACAAAUGUGUGAGUAUCUCUGCACGUCUUGACGGUACCUAAACAGAAAGCCACGGCUAACUACGUG
rnacentral:rRNA from 1 species